UCAUCGAAUCUUUGAACGCACAUGGCGCCUUCCAGUAUCCUGGGAGGCAUGCCUGUCCGAGCGUCGUUUCAACCCUCGAGCCCCCGUGGCCCGGCGUUGGGGACCUGCCCAGGCAGUCCCCGAAAACCAGUGGCGGACCCGACGGGCCCUUCCUUUGCGUAGUAACAU
rnacentral:rRNA from 1 species